ACGAACGCUAGCGGCGUGCUUAACACAUGCUAGUCGAGCGGUAAGUCCGUUCGGGGUACUCGAGCGGCGACCCGUGAGUAACACGUGGAUGAUCUGCCUUGCACUUCGGAAUAAGCGUAAGAAAGCUGGGUCACAUACCGGAUAUGACCCCGAAUCGCAUGGUUUGGGGUGGAAAGAUUUAUCGGUGCGAGAUGGGCCCGCGGCCUAUCAGCUUGUUGGUGAGGUAACGGCUCACCAAGGCAACGAGGGGUAGCCGACAUGAGAGGGUGACCGGCCACACUGGGACUGAGACACGUCCCAGACUCUUACGGGAGGCAGCAGUGGGGAAUAUUGCACAAUGGGCGCAAGCCUGAUGCAGAGACGCCGCGUGCGGGAUGACGGCCUUCGGGUUGUAAACCGCUUUUGACAGGGACGAAGCGCAAGUGACUGUACCUGUAGAAUAAGGACCGGCCAACUACGUGCCAGCAGCCGCGGUAAUACGUAGGGUCCGAGCGUUGUCCGGAAUUACUGGGCGUAAAGAGCUUGUAGGCGGUUCGUCGCGUCGUUUGUGAAAACUUGGGGCUCAACCUUAAGCUUGCAGGCGAUACGGGCGGACUAGAGUACUUCAGGGGAGACUGGAAUUCCUGGUGUAGCGGUGAAAUGCGCAGAUAUCAGGAGGAACACCGGUGGCGAAGGCGGGUCUCUGGGAAGUAACUGACGCUGAGAAGCGAAAGCAUGGGUAGCAAACAGGAUUAGAUACCCUGGUAGUCCAUGCCGUAAACGGUGGGUACUAGGUGUGGGGCUCCUUCCACGGACUCCGUGCCGUAGCUAACGCAUUAUGUACCCCGCCUGGGGAGUACGGCCGCAAGGCUAAAACUCAAAUGAAUUGACGGGG
rnacentral:rRNA from 1 species